GGGGAAUCUUGGACAAUGGGGGCAACCCUGAUCCAGCCAUGCCGCGUGAGUGACGAAGGCCUUAGGGUUGUAAAGCUCUUUUGGCGGGGACGAUAAUGACGGUACCCGCAGAAUAAGUCCCGGCUAACUUCGUGCCAGCAGCCGCGGUAAUACGAAGGGGACUAGCGUUGUUCGGAAUUACUGGGCGUAAAGCGCACGUAGGCGGAUUUGUUAGUCAGGGGUGAAAUCCCGGGGCUCAACCUCGGAACUGCCUUUGAUACUGCAAGUCUUGAGUCCGGAAGAGGUGAGUGGAAUUCCUAGUGUAGAGGUGAAAUUCGUAGAUAUUAGGAAGAACACCAGUGGCGAAGGCGGCUCACUGGUCCGGUACUGACGCUGAGGUGCGAAAGCGUGGGGAGCAAAC
rnacentral:rRNA from 1 species